CUCGAACCAUCAACGCCAAUCUUGCCGUCGCCAUCGGUGUCACCGGCCUUGAGGAAUGCCUGGGUCUCAGCAUCAUUCAGGCUGCGUGCACCGUGCUUGAAGUUCUGCAGGAACAGCCUGUGGACCCAUGUUGCAUAAAUUUUAAUUCAGGUGGCUCAGUGGGGCAACUGGUUAGACCGGUGACCUCACAGUUCUGAGGUCCGGAGUUCAAAUCCGGGUCCCGCCUACGUGGAUUUUGGACAUUCUACCCGUGCUUGUGUGGGUUUUCUUUGGUAAUCUGCGAUUGGCUGGCAACCACUUCAGGGUGUGCCCUGCCUCAUGCCUGAUGACAGCUGGGAUAGGAUCCAGCACUCCCGCGACCCUCGUGAGUGUAACCAACAAAUAAAAUGAAUGGAUUAUUAGUUAUCUGCGAUUGCCUGGCAUCCAGUACAGAGUCUACCUCGCCUCCUGCCCGAAGAUAGCAGGGAUUGGCCUCCGUGACCCUUGUGAGGAUAAGCAGCAAUUGUUAGUUAUUGAUUUAUGUGUUUUGUAAAUCAGAUGAUUUUUAUAUUGAUCCUGGUCAUUUUACAGUCUCAAUUUAAUCAAUGGCAUGUUCCACAUUUUGCUUUUUGUAGAUCACAGCAUUGUUUUAUUUUAUAUUUACUAUCGGAUUGUUAUGCCAAUUAGGGUUCAUUAAUAUUCUAACAAUGCUGCACCCGUCACAUAUAUUGCAUACAGGUCUAAAUCACACCAGCACAGCUGACCUCCAAGUCUGAAGUAUUUCAUUAAAAAUGACGCCUACCAUAAUAACGGUGUUGAGCUCUUUGAAAGAUCUAAUAUCACUGUCAGUCAUGAGUGAUAGUUUGAAUGAGUACAGAAAUACAGCAUCAUGAAAAUGAAAUGCGUGUUAAUUGCAAGCCAUCU